GAGGGAGCCCUUCUUGGGGUCGGCGGCGGUGGCGUACACGGUGUACACGAGCGCGAAGGUGAUGAUGAUCUCGAACACCACGCCCUCCAGCUCGCUGAUGCCGGCGACGCCGUGGGUCGGGAUGGCCUUGCCGUGGGUCACGAACUUGAGGAGCAGGCAGGCCACGGAGGCGCCGAGCAGCUGGGCGACCCAGUAGAAGAGGCCGGUGAGGAUGGUGAUGUGGCCGCCGACGGCGAGGCCGAAGGUCACGGCGGGGUUGAGGUGACCGCCGGAGAUGUUGGCGGCGACGGAGACGCCGACGAAGAGGGCCAAUGCGUGGGCGAUCGCGAUCGCCACCAGGCCGGAAGCAUCGAGCGCGCCGCCAUGGCUCAGUUGCCCUGCACGUACACGCACGGCAAGUAAUCGAUCGAUCAGCACGCGGAGUCAAAGUGUACGAUACGCCUCGAGAUCGACGGAACAGCAGAACUCACCGUAGGCGAUGGCGGAACCGACGCCGGCGAAGACGAAGAGGAGGGUGGCGAUGAACUCGGCCACGUAGGCCUUGAUGGAGGUGGUGCUGAAGGAGUCGCCGACGCUUCCGAACGCGAGCUUCACCAUCUUGCCUUCGCUUUGCUCUUCGAGCUACACCGAAAGCUUUGGCUCUCUGCGCUU
rnacentral:lncRNA from 1 species